GAUUAGCUAGUUGGAGAGGCAACGGCUCACCAAGGCGACGAUCAGUAGCCGGCCUGAGAGGGUGAACGGCCACACUGGAACUGAGACACGGUCCAGACUCCUACGGGAGGCAGCAGUGGGGAAUAUUGCACAAUGGGGGAAACCCUGAUGCAGCGACGCCGCGUGAGCGAAGAAGGCUUUCGGGUCGUAAAGCUCUGUCCUAAGGGAAGAUAGUGACGGUACCUUAGGAGGAAGCCCCGGCUAACUACGUGCCAGCAGCCGCGGUAAUACGUAGGGGGCGAGCGUUAUCCGGAAUUAUUGGGCGUAAAGGGUUCGCAGGUGGUCCUUUAAGUCAGGUGUGAAAGGCAGUGGCUCAACCAUUGCAAGCACUUGAAACUGAAGGACUUGAGUACAGGAGAGGAAAGCGGAAUUCCUAGUGUAGCGGUGAAAUGCGUAGAUAUUAGGAGGAACACCAGUGGCGAAGGCGGCUUUCUGGACUGAAACUGACACUGAGGAACGAAAGCGUGGGGAGCAACAGGAUUAGAUACCCUGGUAGUCCACGCCGUAAACGAUGAGUGCUAGGUGUUGGGGGUCGAACCUCAGUGCCGCAGCUAACGCAUUAAGCACUCCGCCUGGGGAGUACGGUCGCAAGACUGAAACUCAAAGGAAUUGACGGGGACCCGCACAAGUAGCGGAGCAUGUGGUUUAAUUUCGAAGCAACGCGAAGAACCUUACCAAGGCUUGACAUCCCUCUGACCGUUCUAGAGAUAGAACUUCUCUUCGGAGCAGAGGUGACAGGUGGUGCAUGAUUGUCGUCAGCUCGUGUCGU
rnacentral:rRNA from 1 species